CCAAUAGCGUAUAUUAAAGUUGUUGCAGUUAAAAAGCUCGUAGUUGAAUUUUAGGCCUGGCCGGACGGUCCGUCUUUGGCGAGAACUGUUCUGUUGUCGGGUCAUCCUUCUGGUGAACCAGUAUGCCCUUAAUUGGGUGUGUUGGGGAGCCAGGACCAUUACCUUGAAAAAAUUAGAGUGUUUAAAGCGGGCUAUUGCUUGAAUAGAUUAGCAUGGAAUAAUAGAAUAGGACGUUGUGGUUCUAUUUUGUUGGUUUCUAGGACCACCGUAAUGAUUAAUAGGGAUAGUUGGGGGCAUUAGUAUUCAAUUGUCAGAGGUGAAAUUCUUGGAUUUAUUGAAGACUAACUAUUGCGAAAGCAUUUGCCAAGGAUGUUUUCAUUAAUCAAGAACGAAAGUUAGGGGAUCGAAGACGAUCAGAUACCGUCGUAGUCUUAACCAUAAACUAUGCCGACUAGGAAUCGGGCGUCGUUAUUUUCACGACUCGCUCGGCGCCUUAUG
rnacentral:rRNA from 1 species